rnacentral:rRNA from 1 species
UUGCUCCUUGUGUGACGAGUGGCGGACGGGUGAGUAAUGUCUGGGAAACUGCCCGAUGGAGGGGGAUAACUACUGGAAACGGUCGCUAAUACCGCAUAACGUCACAAGACCAAUGUGGGGGACCUUCGGGCCUCACACCAUCAGAUGUGCCCAUAUGGGAUUAUCUAGUAUGUGGGGUAAUGGCUCACCUACGCGACUAUCCCUAUCUGGUCUGAGAGGAUGACCAGCCACACUGGAACUGACACACGGUCCACACUCCUACGGGAGGCAGCUGUGGGGAAUAUUGCACAGUGGGCGCACGCCUGAUGCACCCAUGCCGCGUGUAUGAAAAACGCCUUCGGGUUGUAAAGUACUUUCAGUGGAGAGGAACGCGUUAAUGUUAAUAGCCUUGGCGAUUGACGUUACCCGCAAAAGACGCACCGUCUAACUCCGUGCCAGCAGCCGCUGUAAUACAGAGGGUGCACGCGUUAAUCAGAUUUACUGGGCGUAAAGCGCACGCACGCUGUCUGUCAUGUCAGAUGUGAAAUCCCCGGUCUCAACCUGAGAACUGCAUUCGAAUCUGGCGCGCUAGACUCUUGUAGAGGGGGGUAGAAUUCCGUGUGUAGCGGUGAUAUGCAUAGAUAUCUGGA